CCUCUUCCUCUUCCUCUUCCAC
rnacentral:miRNA from 1 species